rnacentral:lncRNA from 1 species
UUCACUGUUUUGGGAAGAGAGAUAGAGUCUAGAGAGGCAAUCAUACAACUAGAUGCAGCUGAUAAGUGGUCAUAAGAGACAAAGUUAGCAAUGGAAUAUGUGGAUUUACACUGACGUGUACCUUUUCGAAGAGCAAUAGGGAGGUCAAGAUUUUCUGGAGGAUCAAGCGGAGUAACAUCUGAUGAUAAAGGAAUUGUAUCAUCGAUUUCCCGCCUCCUCGAGUAAACUUGAACAAUUGGUGGUCUUGCUGGCGUAGAUACAAUAG